rnacentral:rRNA from 1 species
GUAACAUUGGUGCUUGCACCAGAUGACGAGUGGCGCACGGGUGCGUAACGCGUAUGCAACCUACCUUUUACUAGAGUAUAGCCCAGAGAAAUUUGGAUUAAUCCUCUAUAAUAUCUUUUAAUUUCAUGAUUAAUUGAUUAAAGUUUUAACGGUAAAGGAUGGGCAUGCGUCCUAUUAGUUUGUAGGUGAGGUAACGGCUCACCUAGACUACGAUAGGUAGGGGCCCUGAGAGGGGGAUCCCCCACACUGGUACUGAGACACGGACCAGACUCCUACGGGAGGCAGCAGUAAGGAAUAUUGGACAAUGGACGAAAGUCUGAUCCAGCCAUGCCGCGUGCAGGAUGAAAGCCCUAUGGGUUGUAAACUGCUUUUAUACAGGAAGAAACACUCCGACGUGUCGGAGCUUGACGGUACUGUAAGAAUAAGGAUCGGCUAACUCCGUGCCAGCAGCCGCGGUAAUACGGAGGAUCCAAGCGUUAUCCGGAAUCAUCGGGUUUAAAGGGUCCGCAGGCGGUCUUUUAAGUCAGAGGUGAAAGCCUACAGCUCAACUGUAGAACGGCCUUUGAUACUGAAAGACUUGAGUUAUUGUGAAGUGGUUAGAAUGUGUGGUGUAGCGGUGAAAUGCAUAGAUAUCACACAGAAUUCCGAUUGCGAAGGCAGAUCACUAACAAUAUACUGACGCUCAUGGACGAAAGCGUGGGGAGCGAACAGGAUUAGAUACCCUGGUAGUCCACGCCGUAAACGAUGGAUACUAGCUGUUCGUCUAACAUUGGUUAGAUGAGUGGCUAAGCGAAAGUGAUAAGUAUCCCACCUGGGGAGUA